CUGAUGCAGCACGCCGCGUGAGUGAUGAAGGCCUUCGGAUUGUAAAGCUCUGUCUUUGGGGACGAUAAUGACGGUACCCAAGGAGGAAGCCACGGCUAACUACGUGCCAGCAGCCGCGGUAAUAC
rnacentral:rRNA from 1 species